rnacentral:rRNA from 1 species
AUACGGAGGAUCCGAGCGUUAUCCGGAUUUAUUGGGUUUAAAGGGAGCGUAGGCGGGAGAUCAAGUCAGCUGUGAAAUGUAGAUGCUCAACAUCUGCACUGCAGUUGAAACUGGUUUUCUUGAGUGCGUAAGGGGCAGGCGGAAUUCGUCGUGUAGCGGUGAAAUGCUUAGAUAUGACGAAGAACUCCGAUCGCGAAGGCAGCCUGGCGGGCCGCGACUGACGCUGAAGCUCGAAGGUGCGGGUAUCGAACAGGAUUAGAUACCCUGGUAGUCCGCACAGUAAACGAUGGAUACUCGCUGUCGGCGAUAUACGGUCGGUGGCCAAGCGAAAGCGUUAAGUAUCCCACCUGGGGAGUACGCCGGCAACGGUGAAACUCAAAUGAAUUGACGGGG